rnacentral:rRNA from 1 species
ACUUUAUUAGAAGAGACGCAUUUAUUAGAUAAAAAGCCAAUGCAUGCUUUUACAGUAUGGAAAUUGGUGAUUUAUAAUAACUUAGCAAAUCGCAAAGUGAAAACAGGCGAUAAAUCAUUCAAGUUUCUGACCUAUCAGCUUUCGACGGUAUGGUAUUGGCUUACCGUGGCAGUGACGGUUAACGGGGGAUUAGGGUUCGAUUCCGGAGAGGGAGCCUGAGAAACGGCUACCACAUCUAAGGAAGGCAGCAGGCGCGCAAAUUACCCAAUUCUAACAGUUUGAGAGAGGUAGUAACAAGAAAUAACAAUACAAGGCAAUUAAAAUGCUUUGUAAUUGGAAUGAUAGAAAUUUAAACCCUUUUUAAAGUAUCAAUUGGAGGGCAAGUCUGGUGCCAGCAGCCGCGGUAAUUCCAGCUCCAAUAGCGUAUAUUAAAAUUGUUGCAGUUAAAAAGCUCGUAGUUGAAGUUCUGCUAAAAGUAACCGGUCUGCUUUUAAUAAAAGUGGUAUCUUGGUGUGUAUUUAGCAAUGAUGUCCUUUGAAGUGUUUUUUACUUUAUUGUAAUAAAGCAUAUUCAGGACUUUUACUUUGAGAAAAUUAGAGUGUUUCUAGCAGGCCGACGCUUUGAAUACUGCAG